rnacentral:rRNA from 1 species
AGGUGAUAGAAAGUUCACCGUACAUUUUGUCAACGACUGCUUUGAGGAGGAAUAAAUAGUUUUCUUCAUUUGAUACUGUGUAUUUUUUCCUCUAAGCAACUCG